rnacentral:lncRNA from 1 species
GCUCACUACUAAAACUGUUGCUGAUAACUGAAUGUGUCUAUAUGCGGUCAGGAACCUGAGCAUCCAAGCUAUGAUAUGAGACAUCAUAGCGUAAAGAAAGAGUAUGCGUCAGUACGUGAAAUUUACUGGUAUUAUAGAUGAGGUAGGCUGAUAUGUAUGGGUUUAUAUGCAUGAACAAAUAGCUGGCUGUGUAAUAUGACUAUAACUGAAUAAGAGUACAUAUAUAGCAAAAAUUGAUGAAAUACUAAUUAUGCAAUACUAUGCACAUAUCUACAUAUACUGUGUCUGAGAUCAUAGUAACAAUGGAUACUGAGUUUUAAUAACUAAAAGACUGAUAACUGAGUUUACUGUUAAUAUAAUCCUGUUAACUAAGUGACUAUUUCAGACAGUCCUGAUUCUGUGAAACAGUGCUGAGUUCUAUACUAAGCUGAGUGACUGUGUCUGACAGUCCUGAUUCUAUAGAACUGAACUGAGUUCUAUACUAAGACUGAAACUAAAACUGUAGGAGGUAAUCAUCAAAUCGAUAUGCCCCAUCUCUGAGCUGAUUUGGGGUCUAACCUGUAACCCCAGUUGGAAGGGUGUCAGUACCAUGCCACGGGUAAAGACAAGUGCUGAGUCAUCCUCAUCUGGCAAGUACUCUAAACGAGAAUAGUGGUACCCUCAACUGGCUGGUAGUGCACUUCAUCUACCCUCAACUGGCAGGUUGAUAUCUUAACCUACGCUAGCUACAUAGUUCUGGAACAUAAGGACUACUUCUAGGGAUCACACCCUCUACUAGUAGGUGAAUCCCCAUCCUUGGGUUCACUCGGUGUUGAAUUCUACUUCCAACUGAAUAGAUACUGAACUAAUUUUUAAACUAUUUUAGGCUAGACUAAACUAUUACUGAUCAUGUUAACUGAUUGAACUGGACUGAGUUCACUGAGUACUAUAACUGAUUGCGUGUUCUGAGUUUUGUACUAACUGAAUACUACUGUACAUGACAUCACUAAGACUAUUUUGAAGCUAUUAUACUUCUAGGUAAACAGCUAGAUUUUCGGAUAUUAGAUACCCCCAGGACUCGAUAGCAUAAAAAGUAAGGCACAACAUGAUCUUGAAAAGCAUUACAAUGUUCAUAACUCAUUGAUAGAGAUAUUUUAUCAAACACUUGUAAGAUAUAAGCUUGUACAUAUGCUAGCAUGUCAUGAUUUCCCAAUUUAAUUCACAUGAGUAAUUUAUCAAAUACUUGGGGAUAUAAUCUAUACACAUGAUACUAAACAACAUGUAGGCAUCAUGAUUUCAAAUCCCAAUCUACAAAUUCAAAGGCUUAAACAUUAAUUCACAUAAUACUACACACAUGUCACAUAAAUUUACAUAAAUUUUGUAAUAAAUCAUGGAUUAGAAACCCAAUUAACAUCAUGGUCAUGAAUACAUUCAAACCCAACAUGAAAUUCAUGAAAUCAAUAAACUUGAGGUUUUAAAAGAGGUUCUUGAACUCCAAGGGUGGAAGAAAACCCUUGGAUGAACCCUUAUCAUGCCCUAGGGUUUUGUUCUUGAGAGUAUUUGAUAAUAAUGAGUGAAAUUUGCCUUUAGAAAGGCUUAAUUACAUGUUUUGGGGCUAAAUAGGAGUGGAGAAAUUGACCGAAAUACCCCUCUAGAUAUGGAAUUAAAAGAGCAAAAACUGCGCCCAGUGACGCGUAGACCGAUGCACCUCAUCGAUAGCAUCAAUGCAAUGACCAAUGCACCACAUCGAGUUCGCAUUAGUUCACUAGAAUUAAACUAAAAAUUGGGGAAAAAUUAUCUGUUGACACGAUGGACAACGUGAUGCAUUAAGUUUGCAUUGACCCACUGUUUUGGUCACGUGAACAUAGUUCAAAUGAGGUCCAAAAAAUUCAAAACUCACCCGAAGUGACCUACUGAUAUUCCUGAUCAUAAAUCAACCUAAAAAUUGAUAUUUUAAGGUCAUAAGGGUCAUGAAAUAGGAUCUCCAACUUACGAAGGCUAAUUACUUCUAAGUAUAAACACUUAACUGAAAUUUCUAACUCUGGGACCUCUUUUCAAGCUUCAUCGGAUUGAGUUAAACUUAAAAUUUUGCCGGGUCCUACACUUCUUCUCACUCUCUACCUUUUUAUUAGUAAAUACUUUAAAUUUGUAUGAGAAAAAAAAUUACAAUAUUUUAGGAAAAUUUCUAUCUUAGAGAUUUUGCAUAAAAUUAGUAGAAAACAUAAUAAGAAAAAUAUGGAGUGUGUAAGGAAUAUAUUGCCAAAAUUACCGUUUAAAUUUCAAGUAAUUUAUUUGUUUUAUUCCAAAUAUAGACAGUUUUAAUUUGUAAAAAGAAAAAAAAAUAAUAUAAAUGAAAGGAGAUACAAUUUUUCUUUAGAAAAAGCAAGUAAGUUGGAAUAUUUUAAAAUAUUACGAGCAGAUAAAGGAAAAUUAAAUCUGAUUUGAGAGGACAAUUAGGAAAUAAAGAGAAAAUAAUAGCUAUAAUUUGGAAAAACGAAUAAUUAACAUGUGGGAAAAAAAUAUAAAUUGAUUAAUAAGAAAAUGACGGAAAGAAAAAAUAAAGAGAGAGAGAGAGAGAGAGAGCGCUUUGAGUUUAAAUUUAUCAUUAAUUUGAUAUAGAAAAUUUUAUUUUUCUCACCUUUCUAUAUUUUUCAUUAAAAUAUAUAAAAUUUGUAUGAAGAAAAGAUGAGAAUAUUUUAGAAAAAGUUUAGUAUUGGAAGAUUUUACUUGAAAUUAAGAGAAGACAAAAAGAAAAGCAUGGCCAAAAUUAGAGUUUAUAAAUUUAUAAAUAAUAAUUUAUUUAUUUUGUUCCAUAUUUAGUCAUCCUAUGUUUGUAGAGAAUAAAGAUAAAUUACACAAAUGGUAGGAGAUAUAGUUCAAAAAUAAAGUAAAAAAGUUGAGAUAUUUAUUGAAAUAUUACGUGGAGAAAAAGAAAAGAAAUGACUUGUUAUUUUAGAGAAAACUUAGGGACUAAAUGGAGAAUAAUAGUCGUAAUUAGGGAAAAUGCAUAAUAAAUAUAUGAGGAAGAAGGAAAAAUUAAUAAAAAUGAAAAAGAAAGGUAAAAAGGAAAAAAAUAAACAAAAAGGAAUGCCAAAGAUUUGAAUUUGAUUGUAUCAUUUCCUUUUUUUGAUUUGCUUUUUUCCUUCUUCUCAAUUUUUAGUUCAUUUCAUAUUAGUUAAAUUCAAAUAAAUCCAUAUAUUUUUGUACAUGAAUAAUGUGAUGGUUGGCGUAGAGUCGGUAAUAUGAUACCUCUUUUUGACUAUCAAUUAAAUUAAUCUUUUAUCUUGUAUUUUUAGCUAUUUUCUUAUCUCUUCUUAAAAUUUUCAUAAAAUAAUGGUAUCUUUGCAGAAAUUAUACCUUAUUAAUGUUAUGAUAAAUAUUGCCCAUCAACGUAUCAUUAUAGCAGAAAAGCAAAUAGCUAUUGAUAAAUGUAACGAUAGAAUUUGAAUGGCUCUAAUGAUUCAUAAUAAUUAAGAAAAAUAGAAUGAUUAGGUAAAUUGUGGAGUUUACAUUGGUAAAGACAAAUUAACAUAAGAGAAUUCAUAACGCAAAAGAAGGAAUAUAAAGGGUAUCAAGAUUGGGUAUUUUAUUUUCUUCUUUAUUAAUUACAAAAAAUUUAGUAGGAUUUGCAACAAAUUAUUUUAUUGAAUUAAAAAUCUACAGGUUUUGGUUUGGAUCGCUGCUUUCAUGGAUAAUUAAUAAACGGUACUCUUCGUGUUUCAUUAAUUAUUAAAUAGCUGCAGUAUAGUAAGUAUAGUUGUAUGGUUAUUGACAUGUAAAGUAUUUGUAGAAUUCAGUGCCAUUGAAUUUUUUAUUUUUAUAAUUGAGAAGGAGUGCCCAAAAUAAAAAUAAUGAUAAAUAGAUUCCUUGGUCAAUGAAAUAUGCCACAUUACUCCUUUUUUUAUAUAAAAUAAUGAAAUUCCACGAGUCUUUAUACUGAUUCAAAAUAAUAGUAAAUGAGUGAUUUUGUUAAUACUAGAUAUUUAUUGGUUAAACGACUGAGUGAUAGCUUUUUGGGUUGUAUUUUCGGAGUUUCAAAACUUCUUUUUUAUGUGUGAUGAAAGCAAAGUUAUAUGAUAUGAAGAGAUGGAGGUGAAACAAAAAUUUAAAUUAUGAUUUUAAUGUUUAACAUUCUUAGCACUAAGACGUUAUAUUUUAAAAUAUAUGUGUUUACAUUUAUUAUUUAUUAUAAUUGUAAUGACUUUUAUGUAAUAUAUAAAUUACGUUAUUUGUGAAUAUACUAAACUAGAUAAAUCAACUAGGUGACAUCUUAUUUUAGAGUGAUAGAAAAUUGUAUCAAGAUAUUAUUAUAUUAUUGUUUAGCAGGUUUUUAGUUGAAGUUUCAAUAGUUGAUGUAUUUGUUUAAUGAAUAUUUUAUAGUUAUUUCACAUUGUGAGAUACUUUUUAGACACUCACGAAAAAAAUGCACCAAAGUAUUUGGUGUAAAUUAAAGAUUUCAUUUCUGUGAAUAUGUAAAAAAAAUAGAGCAAAUUUUUAUUGCAAAAUCUAUUUUAACUUAUUGAUGAAGAACAUAUUAUCUAUAAUUUAAUAGAUGUUAAAUUUGUUAAGUUGAGAGGACCAAGAUAGAAUUAAUGCAAUGCCAAGAAGCAAUAGAAAAACAACCCAUGGAUUUGAGAUUGAAAGAUCACAAAUUGGAGAAAGUUAAAGAGUAUGGCAAAUGUAAAGCGGCUUGGGAUCAGUUCUUGAAACAAAAAUCAAAUAUACAAUGGUUGCUUUAAUUAUAUCAAAAUACGUAUUUUAAUCAUAGCUAUUUGAAAGAUCGGAAGNNNNNNNNNNNNNNNNNNNNNNNNNNNNNNNNNNNNNNNNNNNNNNNNNNNNNNNNNNNNNNNNNNNNNNNNNNNNNNNNNNNNNNNNNNNNNNNNNNNNNNNNNNNNNNNNNNNNNNNNNNNNNNNNNNNNNNNNNNNNNNNNNNNNNNNNNNNNNNNNNNNNNNNNNNNNNNNNNNNNNNNNNNNNNNNNNNNNNNNNNNNNNNNNNNNNNNNNNNNNNNNNNNNNNNGGAAGAAGUAAUAGUGCGUUCAUCAUUAAAGACAAAGAUUGAGUAUAGUAAGCAGGCAUGGAGUCAAUAAGUCAAGCAUUCAUAUAUUAUUAAACCACACUCUUAGGGUAAGCUAACUCAGAACGACAACAUGUUAGCAAAGAGAUUCUCGAACAUGGUCCCUUGUUAUCAGUUGAGCGAGAACUUUAUUAGAGGCAAACUUUAGUAAACAAGAAGUGAAGACAACAUUGUGGGGAAUAGAUGGGAACAAAUCUCCAAGCUUGGAUGGAUGGGAGUCAAUUUUUUAAAGACAACAUGGAGCUAGUGAGAAAAGAUAUAGUGAUGUUAUGCCCCAUAAGUUCAACGAUUUUAUUUUGAUUGCUUUCAUGUGCUCUAAUGCGAUUUUAAGAUUGAAGGAUGAUUAAAAAUGAUAAUGGGACCAUUGAAAAGUUUUUCAAAAUUUUUGGAAUAAGUUUUGGGGAUAGACAUAACACCAAAACAGUAAGGAUCCGAGUUUAGUCCAUGCCAUGGAGGCAAGGCAUAGCUCGAAUGCAAAAAUCAAUGGUCUUGUGUGAUAAGGGAAUGACAUGAUAGCUGGUCAUAUGAUAAGUGUGUGACACAUCACUGGUUUGAUACGAUAAGGGUAUGUCACGCCAAUGGCCACGGCGACGUCAAAAUUCUAUUUGUCCAUUAGCUUUUCAAGGGUAAAUUGGUAAUUUAUGUCCUAAAUGAUCUUAUAAAUUUUCCCAAAAUAUUUUCCCUUACUCUUUACAGAAAUUCGACAUUCAUUCUCCAUCCAAAACUUAUAAGAACACAAAAUAGUGUUUUAAAGAAUUCAACCUCAAGGGCCCCCAACUCAAACAUUCCUCUAAGUAAUCAAUAAGUUUGGGUAUAUGGGGUUUGAAUAAGGUCUUUCUUUAAUUCUUGUAUCCAAAAACUUAGCUUUUAUAAAGAUCUUAUGAAUUUGAUUAUAGGAUUCAUACCCACUUUAUAUGAUUUGAAACUAUGAUGCUCUCUUAUGAGCUAAAUUGCAUUUAAUAUGAAAAUUCAUGAUUUACUCAUGUUUUAAUCGUAUGACUGAUCUUAUGAAGUGAAUUUUAGCGUUCUUUGUAUGAGAUACCAUAAGGUGGUAGUUGUAUGUGAUUUUGUAAUGAUUCACUCAGCUUAAAGGAAAUUCAUACUUAUGAUUUCGAAUUCAGAAUGAAAUUAUUAGAAAUAGAAGCAUAUUGUUGUUUUCAAACUUAUUAGCUCAUAUUAUAAUAUGAUGUUGAAUUUUAUUUAUUCUAUGAGUAAUUGUAUAAUUUUGAUUGUAAUAUCUACCUUCAAGGGGCGAGGGUUUAGCAUAUCCUAGUCCCAUAAGCUACUUGCCACCAUAGGUAUUUAUUAUUUAACUUAUCCAAAUGGUCAUAUACAGGUGAUCAUAUUUAUAAACCUUUAUAUCCUAGUAAGGUAUAUCAGGUCCUUUCGAUGGAGGGAGUUUACACCAAACUCCAUGUUUCUUGCAUAAUUCCUAUCGGUUAAACAAUCUCCCAUAGAAAUGAUGAUUUUAGUAGCUAAGUGUAUUGACUUAGUGACUUUACCAGUUGUUGCUUAAUUACUUAUGUUUUACGAUACUUCAUCUUUCAAUUUUUUUUAUUAGUAUGAUGAGUCUAUAUACAAGUAGCAUGCAUGUCUAAUCUUAUGAUACAUAGCAAAUUUUUAAUUACUUCAUGCAAACCAAUAAACUUAAUAUAUUUUCGAAAUCAUGACCACAAACUCUAUGUUUUGUAUACUGUUAUGAUGUAGGUUCUUGUACUCUCUCUCAAUAACAUAAUUAGUCAUGAUCACCACUUCCUACCCUCCAUCAAUUAAUGAAUCCUCAUGUUUUGAGGACCUAGAUUAUGUGUACUUUUAGCAGCUCAGGUAUGAUUUUGUUCAGACUUUAUAUUUUUUCUUUAGGGUCAGCAGGGGUCCGUCCCAAUAGCCCUUCAAUAUGUUUAGAGGCUUGUAUCUUGGUUGUUAUUUUCAGAUAUUCAUAAGAUUUAACUGAUUUCAUAUUGCUUUAUUUAGAUUUUUUAUCCAAAUUAAUUUAGACUAUUAAGUUAAAGUUUGUACUUAUGAUUUAAGUAAAUUUUUCAUGAUUCACUGUUAAGUAGAUACCAUAGGUUAGUUUUAGGACUAUUUUUAGUAUUAAGCUCCAUGUGGGGUCUGGGGUAGUCUCGAGGAAUUACACUUGGUAAUAAAGCCUAAGAUUUAAGAGUGCUAUGAAAUCUAACAAGCCGCAUUAUGUAGAGUCUUAAUAAUGGGUGUGAUGCACACCGCACUAAUAAGCGAGAGACUAUGGGACAUUAAUAGGAGCUAUUAUUUUCUUUCAUAAUCUCAAUUAUGCUCUGUAAUUCAUUCUCUUUUCUAACUUGUUUUUUCACAUGACAGAUAAUGCCUCCUUGCAGAGCUUACAUUCGUAGAAAUAGGGACUAAUCAGCCCCACCACCAUAUAAAGAUCCUUUAAAUGAAAAUAUCUCCUAUGCUAAGUUUCAGUCUUUCUUUGAAGUAUUAGCUUAUGCUAUGAAUGCUCAAGGUAAUCACCCAACAGUAUCCCAGUUCAGUAAAAUGGUAUCUUAGCUAUAGCUAUAGUUUAAGAUUUCAUUAAGAUAAACACACUGGAGUUCUUUGGUUCAAAGGUGAAUGGGGAUCCAUAGAGCUUCAUUAAUGAGGUGAUGAAAUUACUCAAAUUAUACAUGUAACUAAAGUUUAGAGUAUGGAAUUUACAUCCUACCAGUUGAAGGAUGUUGUUUAUGACUAGGUUACCAUAUGGAAGGAAGGCAUGGAUGAGAAUACAACUACAAUAAGUAUGAAUGUGCUUCUAAUAGUUUUUUUGGAUAGGCUCUUUCCUUGUAAGUUGAAUGAGGCAAAGGUGGAGGAGUUUAUGAACCUUAAGUAGGGUUCUAAAUUACAAUGCUGUCUCAAGAUCACACAACUUUCUAAAUAUGCUCCAGAUUUGUUGCCUGAUUCUAGAGCUCGUAUGAAUAAAUUUACAGUGGAAUAUCUGGCUUGAUAGUCAAGGAGUGUAGAAAUUUCAAGAUAAUUAGGGAUAAGGAUAUUGCUCAAUUGAUGACUCAUGCUCAGCAUAUUGAGGCUAAGAAACUGAAGGAAUAUGAGAGGGAGGCAAAAAAUACUAGGACAAAAUAAUUUCAAUACGGUCAGCUUAAGUUGGGAGAAGAAAAUAGUUCUCAGUUUCAAAACCAUUUGUCAGAUCCUGCAUUAUCUUUAGCCAGUGCCCCCAUACCUAGCACUAAGCAGGAAUAAUUAGGUAGAGCACCGACCACCAGAUCUGAAAGUAGAAUUAAUAAAGAACCUAAGUAUCCAACCUAUAAAGAUGUGGUGGAAAUCAUUAGGGUAAGUGUUUGGAUGGAAAGGUAGGAAGUUUGGUAUGUUUAGAGAUAGACCAUAGGGUGAAUAAUUUCACCUCCACUUGACUGGGCAACAUGGGUGCUCGCCCUCAAACUCAGUCCACUACUUCAACAGCUCAGUCAGGCUUCGCAGCUUAGCAGAAGGGCAUAUUAUUUGAGACGAUGGUGGUCAACAUCAAAAUUGAUUUUAUGAUUUGUUUCGUUCUAGGAAAAGGAAAGCUACCCAGAUGUGGUUACUGGUAUACUUUAUGUCUUUAACCUUGAUACUUAUGUGUUGUUAGAUUUAGGGUCAAACCUUCCCUUUGUAACCCUAAUUAUUGCUGUGAAUUUUGGUGUAAUCCAAAGUCUUUCUGAAUGUUUUUCAGUUUCUACUACUUUUAGAGAGUCAGUUGUUGCUAGACGAAUCUACAAAAAGUGACUAAUUACAAUCCUUCAUAAAGUCACUCUAGCAAAUUUAAUAUAACUAAAAUGAUAGAUUUUGAUGUCAUUCUUGGUAUGGAUUGGCUUCAUUCAUGCUAUACCCUAGUUUAUUAACAUAUCUAAGAGGUAAAAUUUUAGUUUCGUAACGAGUUAGUCCUUGGGUGGGAGGGUAUUCUAGUAGUACCCAAAGGUCAAUUCAUCUCUAAAGGGUAGUCCAGUGGAUGACCCAAAAGUUGAUCUUUAAAGGGUAUAUCUAUCACCUAGUAUGGGUUAAAGAGACUUAAAUAUAAAACCCCAAACCUCCAGUUAGCUAACGUAGCCAACGAGUUUCCUAAAUUUUUUUAGAGGAUCUACUCGGAGUACCUCCUGAUAAGGAAAUCAAAUUUAGGAUUGAUCGUCUUCUAGAUACCCAGCCCAUCUUCAUUCCUCCUUACUAGAUGGCCCCAGCAAAAUUUAAGAAGUUAAAGAAACAACUUAAGGACCUUUUAGAUGAUGGAUUCACCCUACCUAUUAUUUCUUCAAAGGGCUCACCAAACCUAUUCGUGUGCAAAAAGGAUGGUACUCUCAAAAUAUGUAUAGAUUACCGAUAAUUAAACAUGGUCACCAUCAACAACAAAUACCCUAUUUUCAAAAUUGAUGACCUAAUUUACCAGCUUUAGCGUGCCCAUUGUUUUUUAAAAUUGAUCUCAGGUUGGGAUAUCAUCAGUUGAAGGCCAGAGAAUUUGACAUUCUAAAAACCAUUUUUUGAACUCGAUAUGGUCACUUUGAGUUUGUAGUUAUGUCUUUCAUACUAACAAAUUCUCCUACAGCUUUUAUGGACUUAAUAAAGAAAUUUUUUAAGCAGUAUUUAGACAUGUUCCUUAGUUUCUUCAUUGAUGACAUUCUUUUCUAUUCUCGGAACAAAGAGAAACAUGCAAACCAUUUAAGGAUAAUGUUGCAAACCUUCAGGUCACGUAUUAUUGGCAAAAUUUAGUAGAUAUGAGUUUUGGUUGUAGUCCGUUACCUCUUUAGGGCAUGUGAUUUUUGGUAAAGGUAUUCAUAUAGACCUUCAAAAAAUAGAUGCAGUGAAGCACUAGCCUAGGACUAUUACUCUAUCCAACAAUAGGAGCUUUCUAGGUUUAGCCAAAUACGAUAAAAUAUUGGUUGAGGGUUUUCCCUCGAUAUCUUUACCGUUGACCAAGUUGACACAAAAGAAGGUGAAGUUCUGAUGUCCAGACAAGUACGAGAAAAGUUUUCAAGAGUUGAAGGAUAUAUUGCCUUAAUCAUCGGUAUUAGCUUUGCUAGAUGGAUUAAAUGGAUUUGUGGUUUAUUGUAAUGCCUCUAAAGUUGGGUUAGGAUGUGUUUUAAUGCAAAAUAAAAGAGUGGUAUCUUAUGCUUCUAGACAACUCAAGGAUCAUAACAAGAAUUAUUCGACUCAUAAUUUGGAAUUAGUAGCAGUUAUGUUUACCUUGAAAAAUUAGAGACAUUAUUUAUAUGGAGUACAUGUUAAUGUUUUUACAAACCAUAAAAAACUCCAAUAUAUGCUUAGCUAGAAGGAGUUUAAUCUUUGUAAGAUAAGGUUGUUAGAAUUUCUAAAAGACUAUGACAUGAAUGUGCUCUACCACUCAAGUAAAGCAAAUAUAGUGGUUGAUUAAGUACAUUUUCUAUGGGUAGUGUAUCCAUGUUACAAAAAAGAAAAGGAGUUGGCAAAGAGGUGCAUAGAUUAGCUAGGUUGGGAGUUUAUUUAUGUAAUGCAGAUGAUAGUGGAUUGAAGGAUCAAAAUGAUUUAGAGUCACCUCUUAUAGCAAAGGUGAAGGGAAAACAACAUAAUGACCAUAUACUUAGUCAUUUAGUAGAUAGAAUUCAUCAGUAAAAGGCAGAGGUAUUCUACCAAAGGGGAGAUGGUGUUCUUUGCUAACAAGAUCAUUUGUGUUUCCUUAACAUAGCUAGGUUGAGAGAUAGAAUGUUAGAGAAGGCUCAUAGUUACAAGUAUUUAAUUCAUCCUGGUUCCACCAAGAUGUAUCUUGAUUUGUGGAAAGUCUACUAGUGGAAUGGUAUUGAGAGAGACAUAGCAGAGUUUAUGGCUAUGUGUCUGAAUUACCAAAAAGUGAAAUUCAAGCAUCAAAGACCAAAAGUAUGCUUCAGGAUAUUGGAUCCCUACUUAGAAGUAGGAGGUUAUCAAUAUAGAUUUUAUUAGGGGACUUCUCCGCACUACGCGUAAGCAUGAUUUAAUUUGGGUCAGUGUGGAUCGAAUGACCAUGUCACCCCAUUUCUUUCCAGUUAAGACCUCAGAUAUAACUAAAUAUAAUGUUAUGUUAUACAAUUGUAAGUUAGUAAGACUCUACAGAAUUCCUUUAUCCAUCAUUUCAGACUGAGGUACAUAGUUUACUUCUCACUUUAGCAAUCAUUCCUGAAGGGCCUUGGUAUAAAAGUGUAGCUUAGUACCAUUUUCCACGCUUAGAUAGAUGGUCAGUCCAAGUAUACUAUUCAAACUUUAGAAAAUAUAUUCGAAGCUUGUGAAAUUAACUUCAAAAGAAAUUGGGAUAAUCAUCUACCUCUAAUUGAGUUUGCUUAUUAUAUAGUAACCAUACUAUAUACAUAUGACUCUAUUCGAUGCUUUAUAUGAGUGUAGGUGUAGAUCCACCAGGGUGGUUUGAGGUUGGUGAGCCAACUUUGAUCGGUCCAGACUCUAUUCUUGAAGAUUUGGAGAAGGUUCAACUGAUUUGUGAGAUGUUGAAAAUCUCUCAAAGUCAUCAAAAAACGUAUGUAGAUGUUGUGGUGAUAAAACUAAAGUUUAUUGUUGGUUAUUAGGAAUUUUUAAGGUUGUCACCCAUGAAAGAAGUGAUAAGGUUUGGAAAGAAAGGAAUACUCAGUCCCCAGUGUAUUGGUCCAUACAAAAUCUUAAGGUGCAUUAGAGAUGUUACUUAUGAGCUGGAUCUUUCAUCAAAAUUAGUCAUCGUUCAUCCAAUUUUCCAUGUUUCCAUGUUGAAGAAUUCUAUUAAAGACCCAUCCUUGGUAGUGCCUAUUGAAAAUAUUGGAGUGAAAGAUAAUCUAUACUAUGAAGAGAUCACGGUUAUUAUUUAUCAUAGGUUUGAAGGUUAAGGAAUAAGGAUAUGGCUACAGUGAAAGUCUUGUGGAGGAAUCAGUCAGUCAUGGGAGCGACAUGGGAAACAAAGGCAGACAUGAUGAAUCGAUAUCCUUACUUAUUUUCUCCUAGCACUGAGUCAUCUUGAGGUAUGGAAUUUUCUCCAAACCUAUUCUACUCAAUGAAAUCCCUAGUUGUAUCAGUCAAAUCUAUGAAAUUCAUGUGUGGUCAGUCAGUUCAGUUGUACGCAUAUUCUUAGGGUAAGCUAGUUUUAGUUUCAUGGAAUGAUAAGAUUCAUACCUUAGCCUAAUGCAUACAUAAGUUAUAUUUUUCCCCCAUUUCAACCUUUAGUCGGGGACGAAUGGUCCAGGAGGAGAUAAUGUUAUGUCCUAUACGUUCAACCAUUUUAUUUUGAUAUCUCCCAUGUAUUUUAAUUCAAUUUUAAGGUUGAAUGGUUAUUAGAAAUGAUAAUAUUACCAUUAGGAAGUGUUUCAGAAUUUUUUGUGUGAGUUUUGUGGUUUAAUGUAACUCCAAAAUAGUAAGGGUUUGUGUUUAGGCUGUGCCACCAGGUCAAGGGAAAACCCAGAUAUGAAAAAUAGUAGCUUAGCAUGAUAAGGGUGUGCCAUGUUAUAUGGUUAAUGUGAUAAGGGUGUGCCAUACCACUAGCUUAUUGCGAUAAGGGCAUGCCAUACCAUUGGCCAUGGCGAUGCGAUAAAUUCAUUUUUUCUUUAGUUAUUUACGGUCAAAUUGGUUAUUUACGUCCUAAAUGAUCUUAUAACUUUCUCCUAAAUGUUUUCCCUCACUCUUCAAAUAAAUUCAGCAUUAAUUCUCCUUUCAAAACUCACUAGAACACAAAAUAUGGGUUUCUCUUAAGAAUUCAACCUUAAGGGCCCCCGACUCAAGUGUUCCUCCGAGUAAUUUGAUAAGUUCGGGGAUGUAGUGUUUGAAAAAAUGUUUUUUCUCAUCCUUGUCCCCAACAAAUUAGUUUUCAUAAUAAUUUCACGGAUUUGAUGAAUAGGGUUCAUAACCACUUUAUAUGAUUUGAAACUAUGAUGCUCUCUUAUGAGUUAAAUUGCAUUUAUUAUGAAAACUCAUGUUUUAAUCAUAUGAUUGAUCUUAUGAAGUGAAUUUUAGUGCUCUUGGUAUGAAAUACCAUAAUUUGCUAAAUAUAUACGAUUGAUUCACUUAUUUUACAAGAAAUUCAAACUUAUGAUUUCAGAAUCAGAAUGAAAUUCACAUAUGUACGUAUGGUUAUGAAAUAGAAAUAAAAGCAUGUUGUGGUUCUCACACUUAUCAGCUUAUAUGCUUACAUUAUGGUGAAUUUUCUUUAUUUAUUGAGUAAUAAUAUGAUUUUAGGAGUUUUACUAGCCUCGAGGGAGUCAAGAUUUAGCGUAUCCUAGUUUCAUAAAUUAUGUGUUGCCGUAUGUAUUCAUUAUUCAACUUGUCCAAAUGGGCAUGUAUAGGUGAUCAUGUUUAUAUGACUUUAUAUCCUGGAAAUAUUUAUUGGGUCCUUUUGAUGGGAAAUUUUGCAUCAUACUCCAUGUUUCUCACAUGAUUUAGGUUGGUGAAGAGAAUCUCCCACAAAAAUGAUGAUUUUAGAUACUAAGUGUAAUGACUCGCUGAUUUUACCUAUUUUUGCUUAAUUAUUUAUGCUUUAUGAUACUUUAGAUUUUAGUUUUAUUCAUGAAUAUGGUUAUUCUACAUAUACUUAGCAUGCAAGUUUUAAGAUUAUGAUACAUAAUUGUUUUACUUAUUGUAUGCACCCCGAUAUACUUAGUACAUUCUUUAAUUACUGACCACAAACUCAAUGUGAUCUACAUCCUCUUAUAAUGUCAGUUUUAGUGUUUGUCUAAAGCAACACGAUUAUCCACAAUCACCACUUCUUAUCUCCCAUCCGUUGGUGAGUCCUCAAGUUCCAAGGACCUAGAUUAUGUGUACUUUUAGUAUCCUAGUUAUGAUUUUGUUUAGAUUUUAUGUUUUCCCUAUUGGGUCAUUUGUGGUCUGUUCCAGUGGCUCUUCAAUAUGUUUAGGUAGUUGUCUAGACUUGGUGGUUGUUUUUAGAUAUUCAUAUAUUUCAGUUGAUGUCUAGUCACAUUACAUUUUUGGGAUUGUUUAUCUAAAUUUAUUCAAAAUAUUAAGUUAAAGUUUCUGCUCAUGUUUUAAGUAAAUUUGUCAUGAUUCAAUGCCAAGUAGUUACAAUGGGUUAUCUUUGAGACUACUUGUAGUCCUAAGAACUAUGUGAUGUCUGGGGAUAGUCUCGGAGCAUUAAAAGUGAGUGGGGUGAUAGACUUUUUAAAUAUAGGGAGGAUUAUUAAAGGAUUAAAUUAAACUGUCAUAACAUUGAUACCCAAGAGUCAUCACACUGAGGAAGUGGGCGAUUAUAAGCCCAUCUCUUAUUGCUAUACCAUAUACAAAAUAGCCUAAAGGAUGAUGUCUUGUAGGUUAAGAAGGGUGAUAUCAGAUAUAGUGGCAGGUAAUCAAAGAGCUUUUGUUGCUGGAUGAUCCAUCGUGCAAAAGAUUUUUAUAGGUUAGGACUACAAUAGGAAGAACAUUACUAAAAGUUGUCUUAAUAAGAUUGAUUUACGCAAAACUUAUUAUAGUGUUGAGUGAGGAUUCUUGGAGGAGAUAUUAGACGGCCUUAACUUCCCUCAAAAUUUUAUUCAAUAGCUAAUGCCAUGUGUGUGCACUGCACAAUACAACAUCACACUAAAUCGGGGGAUAUAUGAAAAGAUAGAAGGAAAAGGGGACUUCACCAAGGAGACCCAAUAUCACCACUACUUUUUAUAGUAUAUGUGAAGUAUUUCACUAGAAUUUUUAGGUGGAUAGCUGGUCAGAAGGGGUUCUAGUUUCAUACUAAGUGUAAAAGUUUGAAAUAGAACUAUUUGUGCCUUGCGUAUGACAUGUUAAUAAUUAGAAAAGGGGAAUAUCAAGUUAUAAUCCGAAUGAUACGGGGAAUGAAGGUAGCAUCAAAAGAACCAGACAUAACAAUAAAUGAUUCCAGCUAAUUAUUUUUCCAAGAAUAUAGAGAAGCAAAGUCUGGAGGAUCUAUGUGAAGUUACAGGCUAUGCUAUAGGUAAGCUUUUAUUUCCUUAUCUUAGAAUCCCUAUUUCAACAAAGCAACUUUCUCCAAGUGAUUGUGAGGUGUUGGUUUACAAACUAAUAAUAAACAUAUGAACCUUGGGAUCCAGGAACCUAUUUUAUGUUGGGUGAGUGCAAUUAAUCAACUAAGUUCUAAUACAUGUGAACUCAUACUGGUCGAUCAUUUUCUUGCUACGUAAGGAGGUUAUGAAAAGAAUUAUAAUUGUGUCCAGAAAAUUUUUAUAAAGGGGAUAUUUAAAUACUAAUAAACAACCAUUAGUAGCAUGGGAAAUAGUUUUCACACUUAAGAGUAAAGGUGGGCUUGGAAUCAAUUACUGUGUAAGAUGGAAUGAGGGAGCCAUAGCAAAAUAUGUUUGAAGUAGAGCAGUCAAAAAUGAUAAUCUAUGAGUGAAAUGGGUUAAUCACAUAUAUAUCAAGAAUGAUUAGUUGCAACACAUACCUAAUCAAGAUACUUGUUGGCAUUGGAAAAAGAUAAGUAGCAUAAAGGAAAAGUUUUGGAUAAGCUACGUGGGAAAUGGUUGGUUGUAGGCUACAGGGGAAUACACUAUGAGAAGUGGAUAUAAAUGGAGAUGUAGAGCUGGGGGUGAUUGGCCAUGGUAGAUAGGAGUCUGGAAUAAUCUGAAUAUACUCAGGCAUAAAUUCAUAAGGUGGCUUGCAACGCAUCGAAGAUUCUUCAUGAAAUAAAGAUUGACAAAGAUAAAUAUUAGUUCAACUACACACUACAUGUUGUGUGGAGACCUAGUAGAAAUGGUAGAGCAUGCUUUGUUUGAUAAUUUCUUUCCCUAGAAGUUCCNNNNNNNNNNNNNNNNNNNNNNNNNNNNNNNNNNNUACAGGAGGUUCUAGAUUCGUCACAAAUAAAAUAACAAUCCAAUAUAUGCCAGGAACAUAGAGAAGAAUGGCAAAAAAUGCUCAAGGAAAAUUAACUAGAGAUUUCUUAUGGGUAGCAGUAGCAAUACUAACCUGUGGUAUAUGGCACGCAAGAAAUAAGGCAAUAUUGUGUCAAAAGGUCCCCAAGACACAAUGAUUGUCAAGUAGGGGCAUAAGAGUGUAAAUAUAAAGUUUUUGGGCUUUUGUAUCAGAAAUCUACAUGUAAUGAUAGGAAUUGGAUAGAAGAAUUAUACAACAGGAAAGACAUGUAAAGUGGAUGACAGUAUCUCGAAGUGGUCGAGAGAGUUUCUUUAUUU